AGCAGCCGCGGUAAUUCCAGCUCCAAUAGCGUAUAUUAAAGUUGUUGCAGUUAAAAAGCUCGUAGUUGAAUUUCGGGAUUGACACAUCGGUCGUGCCUUAAGGGGUAUGAACUGGUGUAGUCAAUUUCUCACCUUCUGGAGAACCGCGAUGCCCUUAAUUGGGUGUCACGGGGAACCAGGACCUUUACUUUGAAAAAUUAGAGUGUUUAAAGCAGGCAUUUUGCUUGAAUACAUUAGCAUGGAAUAAUAAAAUAGGACGGCAUGAUUCUAUUUUGUUGGUUUCUAGGAUCACCGUAAUGAUUAAUAGGGAUAGUUGGGGGCAUUAGUAUUCAAUUGUCAGAGGUGAAAUUCUUGGAUUUAUUGAAGACUAACUACUGCGAAAGCAUUUGCCAAGGAUGUUUUCAUUAAUCAAGAACGAAAGUUAGGGGAUCGAAGACGAUCAGAUACCGUCGUAGUCUUAACCAUAAACUAU
rnacentral:sRNA from 1 species